UCAAUCUGAAUCUUAGUAUUAAGUUUUACAUAUAUUUCACUUCCAUGUGGUGGGGAAUAUAAGAUAAAUGUGGCAGUGUAAGAUCUAUACAUCGGCAAAAAGCAUAAUCUGGAGAGAUAUUAGAUAAAUGUGGAACCAAUGAAUACUAACCUGGCUGACGUCCUAGCUCCCUCAUCUAUAGAAGAAAUAUGAAAUAUAUACAAAAUAGUAGAUAAAUGUGGUACCAAUGAAUACUAACCUGGCUUACCUCCUAACUCCCUGAUCAAGUUUCGCCACUUUACAUAUUUAUGCAUCCAUCCAUGAUGUACAUGAUGUAUAUGCUAUGACAUGGAUCUGAGCUGCUAGUCCGCUUCAUCAAGCAGCUUCUUGGAUUGCACGCAUACUGAGCUACGUGCGGUUGGGUUACUCCCGUUUCUCCAGCAUCUCUUGUGCGACGGCUGCUGAUGCUCCUGUGAGAGAUGUAGCCGGGGAAACCAUGGCUUGGACGUUAGACGACUUGUGCCUCCCAAGGAAUUUGUAUAUACUUAUUAAGACAUACUAAUUAUAAGUGCAGCUCAUGGGCGUAGUUGUGCCUCGGUCAAAUCUCCAUAACGAAUCCAGAAAUUGUACGUCACAAGAUUGAGGGUUUGAUGCAAAUCGUGAUUAGGAUCAAAUUCAAGCACAACCUAAUCAGAAGAGAGAUGCAGAACUAUUUAAUCUAGAUCCAAGUAAAAUAUUGGAUGACAUAACAACAAAAAUAAUAACUAAUGCAAAAUAGUUUUAGUCACGGACCUGAUCUAAGUCAGGAAAAGAAAAUUGAGGCAGGCUCCUCACCGCACCAGAUAUAUGGCCGCGGUUGUUUUUUUGGAUCCAUGGCCCUGUUUGGUUUGCAUUAGUUUGGUCUCUGAAUGAGAGAGAUUAGAGAGAGGAAAGGACGAUGGAACGCUUCCACGGGGAUCAGAGGAAAAUAGUGGAGAGGGAAGGACGAUGGGCAAGAGAUUUGGUUUUCCACGGGGGAGAGAGACAUACAAAUGUAAUAC
rnacentral:lncRNA from 1 species